CGAGCUGUGAGAUCUUCGGAUGGAUACACUUAGUGGCGGACGGGUGAGUAACGCGUGGGUACCUGCCUCACACUGGGGGAUAACAGUUAGAAAUAGCUGCUAAUACCGCAUAAGUCCGCAUGGAAAAAACUCCGGUGGUGUGAGAUGGACCCGCGUCUGAUUAGCCAGUUGGCGGGGUAACGGCCCACCAAAGCGACGAUCAGUAGCCGGCCUGAGAGGGUGAACGGCCACAUUGGGACUGAGACACGGCCCAAACUCCUACGGGAGGCAGCAGUGGGGAAUAUUGCACAAUGGGGGAAACCCUGAUGCAGCGACGCCGCGUGAGUGAAGAAGUAUUUCGGUAUGUAAAGCUCUAUCAGCAGGGAAGAAGUGACGGUACCUGAAUAAGAAGCCCCGGCUAACUACGUGCCAGCAGCCGCGGUAAUACGUAGGGGGCAAGCGUUAUCCGGAUUUACUGGGUGUAAAGGGAGCGUAGACGGCAAGGCAAGUCUGAAGUGAAAGCCCGGUGCUUAACGCCGGGACUGCUUUGGAAACUGUUUGGCUGGAGUGCCGGAGAGGUAAGCGGAAUUCCUAGUGUAGCGGUGAAAUGCGUAGAUAUUAGGAAGAACACCAGUGGCGAAGGCGGCUUACUGGA
rnacentral:rRNA from 1 species